rnacentral:rRNA from 1 species
ACGGGUGAGUAAUGUCUGGGGAUCUGCCCGAUAGAGGGGGAUAACCACUGGAAACGGUGGCUAAUACCGCAUAACGUCGCAAGACCAAAGAGGGGGACCUUCGGGCCUCUCACUAUCGGAUGAACCCAGAUGGGAUUAGCUAGUAGGCGGGGUAACGGCCCACCUAGGCGACGAUCCCUAGCUGGUCUGAGAGGAUGACCAGCCACACUGGAACUGAGACACGGUCCAGACUCCUACGGGAGGCAGCAGUGGGGAAUAUUGCACAAUGGGCGCAAGCCUGAUGCAGCCAUGCCGCGUGUAUGAAGAAGGCCUUCGGGUUGUAAAGUACUUUCAGCGGGGAGGAAGGCGAUGUGGUUAAUAACCGCAUUGAUUGACGUUACCCGCAGAAGAAGCACCGGCUAACUCCGUGCCAGCAGCCGUGGUAAUACGGAGGGUGCAAGCGUUAAUCGGAAUUACUGGGCGUAAAGCGCACGCAGGCGGUCUGUUAAGUCAGAUGUGAAAUCCCCGGGCUUAACCUGGGAACUGCAUUUGAAACUGGCAGGCCUGAGUCUCGUAGAGGGGGGUAGAAUUCCAGGUGUA